ACAGGAGAAGGCAUAUAAGGAAGUGGUAAGACGGCCAUCUUCAGAAAAUAAUUUCAUGGCAGCAAGAAGUUUUUUUUAUCUGCCAUGAUGCUGAACCUGCCCUGCAGCUGAGCUAGUAAGGAGCCAGCAAUCAUUAAAGAUCUACACAUUGCUAUACAAUGGGUUGUCAAGAAUGAGGCACUGUUCUGUGGGCGCAUAACCAUGCCAAGUUAUGUGUCAAUGAAUGAAGAUGACCACCAGAAGGCCUAGAUAACGUGAUGCAAAGAGAAGAACCAGAAGCAAGGGAGCCAUUCCUCUUUGUAUUUCAGCACAGAGAAGAUAUGGAGUUGUUUUUGCAGGCAUGUCUUGACCAACAGGGCCUCCAAGUUAAUGCCAUGUUCAACAAAUGACUGAUGGACAAGGGGUGGUGGUGUAUUUCUGUUUAAAUUAUUGAUAAUAAUAAAAAAAUAAGAUAAUUAACACCA